GACGAACGCUGGCGGCAUGCCUAACACAUGCAAGUCGAACGGAACUUGUUGAAUGAAGUUUUCGGAUGGAUUUUAGCAAGUUUAGUGGCGGACGGGUGAGUAACGCGUGAGCAACCUGCCUUUCAGAGGGGGACAACAGUUGGAGACGACCGCUAAUACCGCAUAAUGUAGCGAGACCGCAUGGUCAUGCUACCAAAGCUUUAUGUGCUGAGAGAUGGCCUCGCGUCUGAUUAGCUAGUUGGUGGGGUAACGGCCUACCAAGGCGACGAUCAGUAGCCGGACUGAGAGGAUGACCGGCCACAUUGGAACUGAGACACGGUCCAA
rnacentral:rRNA from 1 species